AGAUUGAACGCUGGCGGCAUGCCUUACACAUGCAAGUCGAACGGCAGCACGGGGGCAACCCUGGUGGCGAGUGGCGAACGGGUGAGUAAUGCAUCGGAACGUGCCCAGUAGUGGGGGGAUAACUAGUCGAAAGAUUAGCUAAUACCGCAUACGACCUAUGGGUGAAAGCGGGGGAUUCGCAAGAACCUCGCGCUAUCGGAGCGGCCGAUGUCUGAUUAGCUAGUUGGCGGGUAAAGCCCACCAAGGCUUCGAUCAGUAGCUGGUCUGAGAGGACGACCAGCCACACUGGGACUGAGACACGGCCCAGACUCCGUACGGGAGCAGCAGGUGGGAAUUUUGGACAAGUGGGCGCAAGCCUGACUCCAGCCUAUCGCCGCGUGCGGGAAGAACGGCCGUUCGGUUACGUAACCGUCGUUU
rnacentral:rRNA from 1 species